UAAUACGAAGGGGGCAAGCGUUGUUCGGAAUUACUGGGCGUAAAGGGCGCGCAGGCGGCCAAUCAAGUCAGAUGUGAAAGCCCCGGGCUCAACCUGGGAAUAGCAUUUGGGACUGAUAGGCUAGAGAUCGGGAGAGGAGAGUGGAAUUCCCAGUGUAGAGGUGAAAUUCGUAGAUAUUGGGAAGAACACCGGUGGCGAAGGCGGCUCUCUGGACCGAUACUGACGCUGAGGCGCGAAAGCGUGGGGAGCAAACAGGAUUAGAUACCCUGGUAGUCCACGCCGUAAACGAUGUGUGCUAGACGUUGGGAGACCUAGUCUUUCGGUGUCGCAGCUAACGCGAUAAGCACACCGCCUGGGGAGUACGGCCGCAAGGUUA
rnacentral:rRNA from 1 species